UACGUAGGGUGCAAGCGUUGUCCGGAAUUAUUGGGCGGAAAGAGCUCGUAGGCGGUUUGUCGCGUCGGCUGUGAAAACCUGAGGCUCAACCUCGGGCCUGCAGUCGAUACGGGCAAACUAGAGUUCGGUAGGGGAGACUGGAAUUCCUGGUGUAGCGGUGGAAUGCGCAGAUAUCAGGAGGAACACCAAUGGCGAAGGCAGGUCUCUGGGCCGAAACUGACGCUGAGGAGCGAAAGCGUGGGGAGCGAACAGG
rnacentral:rRNA from 1 species